UAAUAAUACAAUUGUAGUAAUAUAACUAUAAAUAUAACUAUAACUAUAAAUAAUUAAUAAUGUAGUAAUAUAACUAUAAAUAAAAAAAAUGCAUCAAAUAAAAAAAAAAGAUUAAACAAAAUAAAAUAAGCAUGCAAAUAAAAAAAAACACAUAACCGCACUUCAAAGUGCGGCCCUCAAAAUAGAAAACGCACUUCAAAGUGCGGCUGGGUCUUUCCGCACCUCGAAGUGCGGUUGCGUACCUGUGUUCUUCGCCGGAUCUCACAGUGUCUUCUUCCUCUUCCUCCUGCAGUCACAGUAUAUCUCCAAAUCUUCCAACAGCACUAUUACCACCCCGACCGAGAAUUUUAACCAUAACUCAAUCCAAUUCAAUACACAAUACAGUAAACCAGUGAAGUGCUACAGUGCAAAACGAAGAACAGGGCACCUCAGGGUUUAUAACCAACAAAUAUUUUUGUGGUUGGGAGUUAGGAAAAUAAUUGGGGUUAAAAAAAUUAAAUUCAUUAAUUACCGUUUUGACUUUUUAUUAAAUGGAGGACAAACAGGUAAAUUUAGGGGUGCAGGAUGAACUGAGUGAGGUGCAGGAAGAAUCACUCUUACUACAAAUGCAUGCAUCAUCUUUUUCUCAUUAGCAUUUUUUAGCAGAUUUUAAUCUGCAUAAAAAAUUGAAUACUUCUUUUUAAAUCCUGUAAUUAAGCCCUAAUUUGGUACAUGCUUAUCAAUUCCAUUUCCAAUCAUCAUUACUGUCCAUUGCCCUAAAAAUGUAGAUGAUUGGACAACACGUACGUGUGUGUGAAAUUAUAUAUUUGUUUUUUGUGUGUGUCGGAGCAAUGAAGUUAAAAUUAGAGAGUUUCUAGAUUGUUAUUGUUUACGGGAGUGUUCAAAAUUGAUGGUGGAUAUGUUUUUGUUGGUUUCAAUAUUUCGUGAGCAAAUAAAGCUUUCAGAGGAAGAAGGAGCAGUUAAAACUUUCAAGCCAUAGCAGCAAACCCAAGUCAAGACUACGAAAAGGAGUUUUAAAGUAUCUUGUUCGAAAGUCCACUGAAGAAAUUAAGUCCAUAUCAGAAGAGAACGAAGUUGAUAAUCAAUUGUCUGGAAAUGAUGUUCCAUCUGAUUUAAGUACAAGGGUAGAUUCAACCAUAAAUGUGAACAAAAGAAGGAGUUUUGGUCUUGGUGUUCUAUAUUUGUUUCCACUGGCAAAGAUUUUUGGAAGGUCAAAGGAUGUGGAUGCUUUAAGAAGUCAAAUUGAAGCAUUAAACAAAUCACUCCAAGAACAGAAAAUGAUAAUGAGAAAUGAGUUAGAUGAGAUUAAAGAACAAAUACAGACUUUAAAGAUCAGUGGUUCUUCUUCUGCUGCAUCUUAAGAUUUAUUCUUCUUCAUCUUCGUCACUUCAUUUCAACAAUAAAAAAGACUCUCCUGCUUCUCAUAUAUAAAAUAGGAUUGCAUUUGCUAUAUCUGAUAUACCAGAUGUCUAAUAGAAAUAAUAUGUUGCAAUAAAUGUUUAGCUUUUGUUGUGAAAAAUCAGUUAACUUACCCAA
rnacentral:sRNA from 1 species